CAUGCAUCUACCGUUGGAUUGCGCUACAUCGAGUCUACCCAUCUCUCUCGAUCUACCAUGAUUUUUUCUGCUAUCGCACUCAUCUGGGAGUUAGGCAUCCUCAGUCUGCCCAGAACUUUCGUUGUGGAAGGAUGUGCGGGAGUGAUGUGCGAUUUCUUGUGUCCCCUACUUUCCUUGUUUACGUUUUGCGCAGUGUUGCUUCUUCUUCCAUUGUGGAAUGAUUUAUCCUAGCAAAUUGUUGAGGUAAGUUUCUUGAUCUCAUAUGUGCUUCAAUGUACUAAUUUAACUAAUGCUUAUCGUCUUCAAAGUUACAGGUGCAUGCGCCAUUCAUCAACGCCUACCUGUUGGCAUCAUCAACAAUCUUUAUAGUAGGUGACGGAAAGAAAUUGUUUUCCAGUUUUAAAAUAUUAAGCGUUCAGCACAACUCAGCCACAAAACAACGCACUGGAUUGCGCUAAGAACCUGUCGAAACGCGCGCAGCCCCCGGGAGCGGUAGGAGAAAGGAAGAACGAGAGGAGAAAAAACUAAAGCCAGCGCGCAGCUCUGAUGGUACCCCGUACGCGGUAAGAAGAAAAAAGAUCGAGAGGAGGAAGAACGGUAAAUUUGGAAGGGGGAGACCGUUCUGCCGUCUCCACAGUGUGAGUAUGCCAAAGCACGUGUUGGAAGGGAAAGAAAAAGUGUGGAAUAAACCGCAUGCGAAUGUGUGCAUACAGCAAAAGUAAA